AACGAACGCUGGCGGCAGGCUUAACACAUGCAAGUCGAGCGCCCCGCAAGGGGAGCGGCCGACGGGUGAGUAACGCGUGGGAACGUACCUUUUGGUUCGGAACAACUCCGGGAAACUGGAGCUAAUACCGGAUAAGCCCUAACGGGGAAAGAUUUAUCGCCGAAAGAUCGGCCCGCGUCUGAUUAGCUAGUUGGUGAGGUAACGGCUCACCAAGGCGACGAUCAGUAGCUGGUCUGAGAGGAUGAUCAGCCACACUGGGACUGAGACACGGCCCAGACUCCUACGGGAGGCAGCAGUGGGGAAUAUUGGACAAUGGGCGCAAGCCUGAUCCAGCCAUGCCGCGUGAGUGAUGAAGGCCUUAGGGUUGUAAAGCUCUUUUGUCCGGGAAGAUAAUGACUGUACCGGAAGAAUAAGCCCCGGCUAACUUCGU
rnacentral:rRNA from 1 species